AAGAGCAUAAACUUGAAGGACCACACGGCCAAGACCUUGGAAAAUUAGGUCCUCAAAAUCUUCCUCCAAAAAUUAUUAGCUUGUGGUUUUCCUACUCAAUUAAGGGUCCUUUACAACUUGGUGUAGUUGUUUUGGAAGAAGGAGCACUUAUUUCUUCAAGUUGACAACUUGUUCAAGUGAAGAAAUUUGUAGAAAAAGGUUUUGGACGAAACGGGAUUUGAGUUUUGGCAAGCGUAAAGGGCAAGAAAGGUACCGACGACAGGUUUGCUGAUCCGUCCGCUUAGGAUCUUAUUCUCCUAUUUUGGAGCGCUCUCUUAUCCAGAGCCCAUCUUUUGGUAUAGUCUGUCACUACUGUAUAUAUAUAUAUAUUCUCGUUCAUGGGUACGGCGGGGCCCUGUCCCGUCAUAUGAUUCUGUCGGUCUGUUUAGAGGUCUGUGGACAUGUUUGUGGGUUGGGGUCUUUCUGUACAAAUGCGUGUAUAUGUUGUGUUUGGGCGAUCUCAUUCGCCGCGGCGGCCGGUCCGCAUAUGUUUAAAUGUUGCUUCGUUGGCCCUGUGUGGUCUUUUGUUGGUAUUUUCUGUGCGCAGGGUUAUUUUGGGUAGCCUGUAAAACAAAGGAAAUUCUGCCGAAUUUUUUCUGGAAAUUAUCUAACUUUGAAAUAUAGCCUUGUCGGCUUCCGCUAUAUACUUGAAUGCGUUUGAUAAAAUUUGAGAUAGCAUUUGAUAGAUGUGUUCGGGUGCUCAGAUCGGGCACUAGUCACGGCCUAUGGG